rnacentral:rRNA from 1 species
UACGUAGGAUCCAAGCGUUGUCCGGAUUUACUGGGUGUAAAGGGUGCGCAGGCGGACUGGUUAGUCUGGGGUGAAAUCUCAUCGCUCAACGGUGAAACUGCCUUAGAUACUGCCAGUCUUGAAUUAGGGAGAGGUUCGUGGAAUUCCGAGUGUAGCAGUGAAAUGUGUAGAUAUUCGGAAGAACACCAAGUGGCGAAGGCAGCGAACUGGCCCUUAAUUGACGCUCAGGCACGAAAGCAUGGGGAUCAAACAGGG